GUAUCAGGCUGAAGUUAGUGAUUUAUCUUAAUUGAUGGUUACAGAUCAAAAUCCUUAUUCUACUCUUUCCCUCUUCUCACUGCUGUAUUUGACUAUUCUAAA
rnacentral:Y_RNA from 1 species